UACGGGGGGGGGCAAGCGUUUGUUCGGAAUUACUGGGCGUAAAGGGCUCGUAGGUGGCCAACUAAGUCAGACGUGAAAUCCCUCGGCUUAACCGGGGAACUGCGUCUGAUACUGGAUGGCUUGAGAUUGGGAGAGGGAUGCGGAAUUCCAGGUGUAGCGGUGAAAUGCGUAGAUAUCUGGAGGAACACCGGUGGCGAAGGCGGCAUCCUGGACCAACACUGACACUGAGGAGCGAAAGCCAGGGGAGGCAAACGGG
rnacentral:rRNA from 1 species